AAAAAAACAUUACGUCCUCUAACCAAGUCGCAGCAGAUGGCGGAGUGGCAGAUUUCAAGACCAGCAAGAUUCUCCUACGGGCCAAAAGCGAUGUCACUUAUAAAAACCAGGAAGUCUGAAGAUCUCAGAACAGAUCCCUGAGGCACACCACUGAUCUCCGAGCUGCAUGCAGAAUAUGAACCGCCUACAGCUACGAUGGACAACCACUUCUAUGGGCAAGCCAGUUCUGGAUCCACAAACUCCAGUUCCGUAAAGCGGUUUGUUGGGAGCAACAGCUGGAAGCACUUCCCGCAGGGACUCCGGAUAUCUCCCUAAUUUUCCACAUCCUGCCAGGCACUCUCUCUACUGCAAGCGGAAAAACAAACAAACAAAAAUAAACAACAACUACCGGAACACGUUCUCAACUCUGACUGU